rnacentral:rRNA from 1 species
UGGCUCAGGACGAACGCUGACGGCGUGCGUAAUACAUGCAAGUCGAGCGGACAGAUGGGAGCUUGCUCCGUGAUGUUAGCGGCGGACGGGUGAGUAACACGUGGGUAACCUGCCUGUAAGACUGGGAUUACUCCGGGAAACCGGGGCUAAUACCGGAUGCUUGUUUGAACCGCAUGGUUCAAACAUAAAAGGUGGCUUCGGCUACCACUACAGAAUGGACCCGCGGCGCAUUAGCUAGGUGGUGAGGUAAUGGCUCACCAAGGCGACGAUGCGUAGCCGACCUGAGAGGGUGAUCGGCCACACUGGGACUGAGACACGGCCCAGACUCCUACGGGAGGCAGCAGUAGGGAAUCUUCCGCAAUGGACGAAAGUCUGACGGAGCAACGCCGCGUGAGUGAUGAAGGUUUUCGGAUCGUAAAGCUAUGUUGUUAGGGAAGAACAAGUACCGUUCGAAUAGGGCGGUACCUUGACGGUACCUAACCAGAAGCCACGGCUAACUACGUGCCAGCAGCCGCGGUAAUACGAUAGGUGGCAAGCGUUGUCCGGAAUUAUUGGGCGUAAAGGGCUCGCAGGACGGUUUCUUAAGUCUGAUGUGAAAGCCCCCGGCUCAACCGGGGAGGGUCAUUGGAAACUGGGGAACUUGAGUGCAGAAGAGGAGAGUGGAUAUUCCACGUGUAGCGGUGAAAUGCGUUGAGAUGUGGAGGAACACCAGUGGCGAAGGCGACUCUCUGGUCUGUAACUGACCUGAGGAGCGAAAGCGUGGGGAGCGAACAGGAUUAGAUAUCCUGGUAGUCCACGCCGUAAACGAUGAGUGCUAAGUGUUAGGGGGUUUCCGCCCCUUAGUGCUGCAGCUAACGCAUAAGCACUCCGCCUGGGGAGUACGGUCGCAAGACUGAAACUCAAAGGAAUUGACGGGGGCCCGCACAAGCGGUGGAGCAUGUGGUUUAAUUCGAAGCAACGCGAAGAACCUUACCAGGUCUUGACAUCCUCAUGACAAUCCUAGUGAU